rnacentral:rRNA from 1 species
CACGUAGUUGGCCGGUGCUUCUUCUGUGCCUACCGUCACUUGCGCUUCGUCGGUACUGAAAGAGGUUUACAACCCGAAGGCCGUCAUCCCUCACGCGGCGUCGCUGCAUCAGGCUUGCGCCCAUUGUGCAAUAUUCCCCA